GAUGAAGAACGUAGCGAAAUGUGAUAAGUAGUGUGAAUUGCAGAAUUCAGUGAAUCAUCGAAUCUUUGAACGCACAUUGCGCCCCUUGGUAUUCCAUGGGGCAUGCCUGUUCGAGCGUCAUUUGUACCUUCAAGCUCUGCUUGGUGUUGGGUGUUUGUCUCGCCUUGCGCGUAGACUCGCCUUAAAACAAUUGGCAGCCGGCGUAUUGAUUUCGGAGCGCAGUACAUCUCGCGCUUUGCACUCAUAACGACGACGUCCAAAAGUACUUUUUACACUCUUGACCUCGGAUCAGGUAGGGAUACCCGCUGAACUUAAGCAUAUCAAUAAGCGGAGGA
rnacentral:misc_RNA from 1 species